GAUCAAGCGACUAAGUGCAUAUGGUGGAUGCCUUGGCGAUCACAGGCGAUGAAGGACGUAGUAGCCUGCGAAAAGCUGCGGGGAGCUGGCAAACAAGCUUUGAUCCGCAGAUAUCCGAAUGGGGAAACCCACUCCGUAAGGAGUAUCCCUGACUGAAUACAUAGGUCAGUGGAAGCGAACCGGGUGAACUGAAACAUCUCAGUAGCUCGAGGAAAAGAAAUCAACCGAGAUUCCGAAAGUAGUGGCGAGCGAAAUCGGAAGAGCCUUCACGUUUUAGCAUGCAAGAUAGUCGAACGGAAUGGAAAGUCCGGCCGUAGCAGGUGAUAGCCCUGUAGACGAAAUUUUGUGUGUGGAACUAAGCGUGAGAAAAGUAGGGCGGGACACGUGAAAUCCUGUUUGAAGAUGGGGGGACCAUCCUCCAAGGCUAAAUACUCGUGAUCGACCGAUAGUGAACCAGUACCGUGAGGGAAAGGCGAAAAGAACCCCGGAAGGGGAGUGAAAUAGAUCCUGAAACCGUAUGCAUACAAACAGUAGGAGCCUCCUUGUGGGGUGACUGCGUACCUUUUGUAUAAUGGGUCAGCGACUUACAUUCAGUGGCAAGGUUAACCGAAUAGGGAAGCCGUAGCGAAAGCGAGUCCGAAUAGGGCGAUUCAGUCGCUGGGUGUAGACCCGAAACCAGAUGAUCUAUCCAUGGCCAGGUUGAAGGCACGGUAACACGUGCUGGAGGACCGAACCCACUAAUGUUGAAAAAUUAGGGGAUGAGCUGUGGAUAGGGGUGAAAGGCUAAACAAAUCUGGAAAUAGCUGGUUCUCUCCGAAAACUAUUUAGGUAGUGCCUCAAGUAUUACUGCGGGGGGUAGAGCACUGUUAUAGCUAGGGGGUCAUGGCGACUUACCAAACUAUGGCAAACUCCGAAUACCCGCAAGUACAGCUUGGGAGACAGAGCACCGGGUGCUAACGUCCGGACUCAAGAGGGAAACAACCCAGACCGCCAGCUAAGGUCCCAAAUUAUCGCUAAGUGGGAAACGAAGUGGGAAGGCAUAGACAGUCAGGAGGUUGGCUUAGAAGCAGCCAUCAUUUAAAGAAAGCGUAAUAGCUCACUGAUCGAGUCGUCCUGCGCGGAAGAUGUAACGGGGCUAAGCGAUAAACCGAAGCUGCGGGUGUGCACUUUGUGCACGCGGUAGGAGAGCGUUCUGUAAGCCUGCGAAGGUGGCUUGUAAAGGCUGCUGGAGGUAUCAGAAGUGCGAAUGCUGACAUGAGUAGCGAUAAAGGGGGUGAAAAGCCCCCUCGCCGUAAGUCCAAGGUUUCCUGCGCAACGUUCAUCGGCGCAGGGUGAGUCGGCCCCUAAGGCGAGGCAGAGAUGCGUAGCUGAUGGGAAGCUGGUUAAUAUUCCAGCACCGUCGUACAGUGCGAUGGGGGGACGGAUCGCGGAAGAUCAUCAGGGUGUUGGAUGUCCCUGUUGACGUAUCGAAGAUGGCGCUUAGGCAAAUCCGGGCGCGUAAAUCAAGGGUACGGCACGAGCGAGCAUUGCUUGCGAAGUGAUUGGAAGUGGUUCCAAGAAAAGCCUCUAAGCUUCAGCUGUACGAGACCGUACCGCAAACCGACACAGGUGGACGGGAUGAAUAUUCCAAGGCGCUUGAGAGAACUCAGGAGAAGGAACUCGGCAAAUUGAUACCGUAACUUCGGGAGAAGGUAUACCCCGGUAGUGUGAAGCGCCUGCGCGCUUAGCAUGAUGGGGUCGCAGAGAAUCGGUGGCUGCGACUGUUUAUUAAAAACACAGCACUCUGCAAAGACGAAAGUCGACGUAUAGGGUGUGACGCCUGCCCGGUGCCGGAAGGUUAAGUGAUGGGGUGCAAGCUCUUGAUCGAAGCCCCGGUAAACGGCGGCCGUAACUAUAACGGUCCUAAGGUAGCGAAAUUCCUUGUCGGGUAAGUUCCGACCUGCACGAAUGGCGUAAUGAUGGCCAGGCUGUCUCCACCCGAGACUCAGUGAAAUUGAACUCGCUGUGAAGAUGCAGUGUACCCGCGGCAAGACGGAAAGACCCCGUGAACCUUUACUAUAGCUUGACACUGAACAUUGAGCCUUGAUGUGUAGGAUAGGUGGGAGGCUUUGAAG
rnacentral:rRNA from 1 species